AAACUUUACUUUAGUUUAACUGGGGCAGUUGAUUAAUAAAAAUUUUAAUAAAGAUUAAGUACUAAAUAGANNNCCCAACANUAGUUGAUUACANUGAACAAGUUACUGUAGGGAUAACAGCGUAAUAUAUAUCUAAAGUUCUUAUUUUGAUAUAAGUUUGCGACCUCGAUGUUGAAUUNAUAUUACUUUCAAGCGCAAGAGCCUGAAAAGUGGGUCUGUUCGACCCCUAAAUAUAUACAUGAUUUGAGUUCAAAUCGGUGUAAACCAGAUUGGUUUCUAUCUAUUNUUAUUUGUGUCUUAGUACGAAAGGACCUGAAACAAUAUUAUAUAAUNAUUUAUAUGGCAGAAAAAUGCUUUAGAUUUAGAAUCUAAUUAUAAUAGAUUAUUAUACUCUAUUUAACUUGCCUAAUCUCUGUUAUUAGAAUCCUUAUCGCAGUAGCUUUUUAUACCCUCCUAGAGCGAAAAAUUCUAAG
rnacentral:rRNA from 1 species